rnacentral:misc_RNA from 1 species
UUUCACAGUCUGAAUUAGUUCAUACUUACACAUGCAUGGCUUAAUCUUUGAGACAAGCAUAUGACUACUGGCAGGAUCAACCAGGUAGCAUUCCUUUGCGACACCGGCACCACCCCGCCAUUCCACUGGGCGAGCCAGGGAGUGGUCGAAGCGGGCGCGGCUGUCAAUCGUAUCCGGCAAAUAAUGCUUUUGGCCGAGUUUGGAAUAACCCGGCCGCAACCAUGUUCACCGCAUCCCAAAGGCACAUGGAGAAUCGUUGACCAAGCCACCAACGAGAACGAUGGCGGUUGGUUUCACAAGACCCACGAUCGAGUUGCUCCGCGUCGGCACUAGGCCAGCUUGGAACAAACAAUCCCAUUUAAAACAGCAACUGCCACUUUAUCUGCCGGGUACGCAACACGGGAACCGUCUACGUGCAGAGGGAGCGAUGAGCUUUACCUCGGACACAAAUGAAAAGGAACGCGGGCCCAAGGUUCGCUGCACAGAGCAGGGAGCCCAAGGGCAGACACGUUCCAUUCACC